GUCUGAAAUCUCUAGUUUGUCAAGCAAUGGGAGUUUCACGACUGCUUCGGCUAGUCCCUGCUUGUUAUUAGAUUGCACAUUGAAACUUUAAGGCUUCUAAGAUUUCUUGAACUGCAAAUAGUUGGGUGUAAAAGUUUAAUAACAUAAUCAAAGAUAGGAACAAGAGCGAUAAAAGAUGCUAAACAUUAUUACAAAAUAUAUUUUUUCCUAGCAUCCCAAUAACCUGAAGCUAACCAUUAAUGCUU